AAAGCCGGAAGAGGGAAGGGUGUGCGAUCAUGGAGGACUCACGGGCCGUUCUUCCGUCUCUGCCCAAACAUUCGUACUGGUUUGAUUUCUGGAUCUUCCUGCUGUUCGACGUGAUGCUGUUCUGCGUCUUUUAUUUCGCUUUUCCCUGAGCGUGUUCUGCGCCGCUCCGGCUCAACCUCAGCUGCUAUGGACGGAUCUCCAAAACAUCUCCCUCUUCACUUCUGCUACUGUAAACAGACUGAAAUACCUGUAAUGUCCUAAAACGGUCACUUCAUGAUUCACUGUGAGGAAAUGUUGACUGGAAUGAGGAGAUGCACCUCCACCUGUUCGGAUGCUUAAAACUCAUCAUCAUGUAAUAUUACUGGAGCAUUAGCUAUGAUAAUUAAAUCUGUGUGAUUUAAAAAAAA